rnacentral:rRNA from 1 species
AUUGAACGCUGGCGGCAUGCCUUACACAUGCAAGUCGAACGGCAGCAUGGAGAGCUUGCUCUCUGAUGGCGAGUGGCGAACGGGUGAGUAAAGCAUCGGAACGUACCGUGUAGUGGGGGAUAACGUAGCGAAAGUUACGCUAAUACCGCAUACGCACUGAGGUGGAAAGCAGGGGAUCGUAAGACCUUGCGCUAUACGAGCGGCCGAUGUCAGAUUAGCUAGUUGGUAGUGUAAAGGCCUACCAAGGCGACGACCUGUAGCGGGUCUGAGAGGAGGACCGGCAGCGUGGGGACUGAGACACGGCCCAGCAUCCUACGGGAGGCAGUAGUGGGUAAUUUUGGACAAUGGGGACAACCCUGAUCCAGCCGUGCCGCGUGAGUGAAGAAGGCCUUCGGGUUGUAGAGCUCUUUCGGCCGGGAAGAAAUCGCACAGGCUAAUACCCUGUGUGGAUGACGGUACCGGCAUAGGAAGCACCGGCUAACUACGUGCCAGCAGCCGCAGUAA